CACGAACGUGCCGGAUAAGCAAAUCACGGCCGGCCUCGCAACCUCAAAAGCAGAAAUGCCGGGAGGCGGAGCGCUGCAGCCCUCCGCCAUUGCCUCGCGGAGAGAGAGAGCCCCUCCGGCAGCCGCUCCGCAGAACUCCGGAUCAGGCGGCGUUCAGCAAGGGCCGCGCCGCUCGAGCCGCAGGGAAAUCCUGCCGUGCGGCUCGGCGUGACGGCGGAGCGCCUGCAGCCCUUCGGGCCGGCGGGCUUAUGCUUCGCACCUCAGCCCGGGUCGCUGGUUAACGGCCGGCAGUUCGAAAGCGCGUGGUGUUAAUCAGUUGCCGCCAAGGGGAAGCGAUCGAAGCGCCGGGCUCCCCCCGCACACCCCAGCGACAGCCCUGCCGUUGGCCCGGCCGCCUCCUCUCCCUAGGGCCCCUCUCCCGGACCUAACUCUGGGCCCUUCCUCCCCCGGCAGCGGGGCUCUCCCGCUCCCCCAGCGCGUCCCCACACCAACCGGGAGGUUUCACGGGGAAUAAUUUUAGCCGCCCUCUCCCAUCCCUGAGUGACCCCCUCGUCUCCCCGGAUUUGCCGCUCUCGUCAGUUAGCCCCGCUCCCCUCUGCCGCCCCGGCGGUUAGCCCCGCCCCUUCUGCCGGCUCCUCGCCACCGUUGUCGGCGGGGCAGCGGCCGGGUACCCCCAGAGUGCUCUGUCACCGGGCUGCUACACGCGUGGAGGGGCUGAGCGUGGCGCCUACAGCCGCCGCGAUAACCAACUGCGCAGUCCCGCGUGCGGCCGCACCGCCGCCACGCUUCCCUGGGGGCCAUCCCUGCUGUGGCGCAAGGCUGGGCCCCGGGUCAUUCCUAAGCACAAUUUCAGACGUGUGAGGUGAGGAGGCGAGGUCAGCAGAGCGAAGCGCUCACACCAUCAGCCCGCUGCUGCAAUUAUGUCGGGAAGAUGCUGACGAGGUGCUGUGCCGGCCGCUGCUAAAGCAGCGCAGUGUGAAGUCCACAGGGCAGCCAGGGGUGAUGCCUGGCUGGGAGCGUUGGCCACGUCGUGCCUAAAGGCUGAAAGUUGCAUGCUGGAGAAAUGGGGCCUCAGUGCUGGGUGCGCAGAGUUCACGAUCCCCUCCCCUGAGGUGUUUUAUACCUAGAAAAGACAGGGACAAGGGUCACUCAGACUGACACGAGAUGGAUGUGUGGUUACAAAGGUUGACAUUGAUAUAUCUGCUUUCAUUCAAUUUCCCGCAUAAGCUCAUCCUAUUGAGGUAAUCAGCAGCCCUGUAGGAGCCACAUUCUCUGAGUCACUGUUUGGAUGGCAGGGUUCCAUGGAGGCGUGGCUAGUUUUUGUCUGCUGAGAUGUCCUUUGAUGUCUCAUGGACGUUUGUUAGGCUCAAAAGCUAUGCUUGGGACCUGGGGACAAUACAUCAGCCACUCAUAAAUCUGCACAAAUCUGAAAUAAUUAUAUUUCAUCUUGUUCAAAAGCAGGGAAUUUUUGUAAAUCGUUGAAUAAGUUGUGUCAGUAGAAAUUAUGUCUGCUAGGCCUACAUUGU